rnacentral:rRNA from 1 species
AGUGAACGCUGGCGGUAGGCCUAACACAUGCAAGUCGAACGGCAGCACAGUAAGAGCUUGCUCUUACGGGUGGCGAGUGGCGGACGGGUGAGGAAUACAUCGGAAUCUACUUUUUCGUGGGGGAUAACGUAGGGAAACUUACGCUAAUACCGCAUACGACCUACGGGUGAAAGCAGGGGAUCUUCGGACCUUGCGCGAUUGAAUGAGCCGAUGUCGGAUUAGCUAGUUGGCGGGGUAAAGGCCCACCAAGGCGACGAUCCGUAGCCGGUCUGAGAGGAUGAUCAGCCACACUGGAACUGAGACACGGUCCAGACUCCUACGGGAGGCAGCAGUGGGGAAUAUUGGACAAUGGGCGCAAGCCUGAUCCAGCCAUACCGCGUGGGUGAAGAAGGCCUUCGGGUUGUAAAGCCCUUUUGUUGGGAAAGAAAAGCAGCAGGUUAAUACCCCGCUGUUCUGACGGUACCCAAAGAAUAAGCACCGGCUGACUUCGUG